rnacentral:misc_RNA from 1 species
GUGAGUCAUCGAAUCUUUGAACGCAUAUUGCACUCGAUUAGAGUAUGCCUGUUUGAGAAUCUAUAGUAAAUCUUAUUUGAUGUAUGAAAAUACUUGAGAAUAGAUAUGAAGUUUCCCUUCUCUUAUGGAGAAGGGUACUUUGAAAUAGAUUGCUUGUAAAUUUUAGGAAAAUGUUGAUAUUCCUCAAACCUUGCAGAAACGUAUGUGAAUGGAACUUUGGUUUCUCAUAAUGCUUAAUAUCCAAGAGAGGGAAGGAGUUUGAAUAAGUUUGUGAGUUCUUAACCAUAAAUUGUUGUGCAA